rnacentral:tRNA from 1 species
GUUUAAGUAGCAAAAUGGCUAAUGCUUAAGAUUUAGGAUCUUAUAACAAGGGUUCAAUUCCCUACUUAAGUU